rnacentral:rRNA from 1 species
GGAAUCGCUAGUAAUCGCGGAUCAGAAUGCCGCGGUGAAUACGUUCCCGGGUCUUGUACACACCGCCCGUCACACCAUGGGAGUCGGAAAUGCCCGAAGUCUGUGACCCAACCGCGAGGAGGGAGCAGCCGAAGGCAGGUCGGAUGACUGGGGUGAAGUCGUAACAAGGUACC